rnacentral:lncRNA from 1 species
GGGCGCCGGAGGGGCGAGCGUGGCAGGGACCCCGAGCGCUCACCUUUGAGGAAGUAGACCCGCGGGCCGGCGGGUAGGCAAGCGAGUAGCGAGGUGAGGACGACACGCGCGGCGCUCUCCUCUCGCAGCUUCUGCCAGUGGCGGCUGCCCUGCACGUAGCGCGCCGACACCGCGCCGCCCCGGGCCCGCCGCAGCACCACCGAGUUGAGGUUGACGUUGAGCGAGCCGCGCACGUUCGAGGCAGCGAAGGCCAGAUAGGGCCGGCAGUCGAGCACCACGCAGCGCGCCGCCGCCUCCUUGCGGAGCAUCUUGCGCAGCUGGCGCCCGUCGAGCGACGUGACCUUCAUGCCGCCGCCGCCGCCGGCCAGCGGCCCCGCGCCGCGCGCCCCGCGGGUGCCCACGGCCAGGGUGUCCACGGCCAGGGUGUCCGCGGGCGAGGCACGGGAGGGCGACCCGCGGGGCUGCGGCC